UACGUAGGGUGCAAGCGUUAAUCGGAAUUACUGGGCGUAAAGCGUGCGCAGGCGGUUCGGAAAGAAAGAUGUGAAAUCCCAGAGCUUAACUUUGGAACUGCAUUUUUAACUACCGGGCUAGAGUGUGUCAGAGGGAGGUGGAAUUCCGCGUGUAGCAGUGAAAUGCGUAGAUAUUCGGAGGAACACCGAUGGCGAAGGCAGCCUCCUGGGAUAACACUGACGCUCAUGCACGAAAGCGUGGGGAGCAAACAGGAUUAGAUACCCUGGUAGUCCACGCCCUAAACGAUGUCAACUAGCUGUUGGGGCCUUCGGGCCUUGGUAGCGCAGCUAACGCGUGAAGUUGACCGCCUGGGGAGUACGGUCGCAAGAUUAAA
rnacentral:rRNA from 1 species